AUGCAAGUCGAGCGAAUUGAUGAAGAAGCUUGCUUCUUCUGAUGUUAGCGGCGGACGGGUGAGUAACACGUGGGCAACCUACCUUAUAGUUUGGGAUAACUCCGGGAAACCGGGGCUAAUACCGAAUAAUCUAUUUCCUCUCAUGUGGAAAUACUGAAAGACGGUUUCGGCUGUCACUAUAAGAUGGGCCCGCGGCGCAUUAGCUAGUUGGUGAGGUAACGGCUCACCAAGGCGACGAUGCGUAGCCGACCUGAGAGGGUGAUCGGCCACACUGGGACUGAGACACGGCCCAGACUCCUACGGGAGGCAGCAGUAGGGAAUCUUCCACAAUGGACGAAAGUCUGAUGGAGCAACGCCGCGUGAGUGAAGAAGGAUUUCGGUUCGUAAAACUCUGUUGUAAGGGAAGAACAAGUACAGUAGUAACUGGCUGUACCUUGACGGUACCUUAUUAGAAAGCCACGGCUAACUACGUGCCAGCAGCCGCGGUAAUACGUAGGUGGCAAGCGUUGUCCGGAAUUAUUGGGCGUAAAGCGCGCGCAGGUGGUUUCUUAAGUCUGAUGUGAAAGCCCACGGCUCAACCGUGGAGGGUCAUUGGAA
rnacentral:rRNA from 1 species